CCUACGGGAGGCUGCAGUGAGGAAUAUUGGUCAAUGGACGAGAGUCUGAACCAGCCAAGUAGCGUGAAGGAUGACUGCCCUAUGGGUUGUAAACUUCUUUUAUAUGGGAAUAAAACGUUCCACGUGUGGGAUUUUGUAUGUACCAUAUGAAUAAGGAUCGGCUAACUCCGUGCCAGCAGCCGCGGUAAUACGGAGGAUCCGAGCGUUAUCCGGAUUUAUUGGGUUUAAAGGGAGCGUAGGUGGAUGGUUAAGUCAGUUGUGAAAGUUUGCGGCUCAACCGUAAAAUUGCAGUUGAAACUGGCAGUCUUGAGGACAGUAGAGGUGGGCGGAAUUCGUGGUGUAGCGGUGAAAUGCGUAGAUAUCACGAAGAACACCGAUUGCGAAGGCAGUUCACUGGACUGCAACUGACACUGAGGCUCGAAAGUGUGGGUAUCAAACAGGAUUAGAUACCCUUGUAGUC
rnacentral:rRNA from 1 species